rnacentral:rRNA from 1 species
GAUGAACGCUGGCGGCGUGCUUAACACAUGCAAGUCGAACGGGAAACCUUUUAUUGAAGCUUCGGCAGUUUUAGCUGGUUUCUAGUGGCGGACGGGUGAGUAACGCGUGGGUAACCUGCCCUAUACAGGGGGAUAACAACCAGAAAUGGUUGCUAAUACCGCAUAAGCGCACAGGGCCGCAUGGUCCGGUGUGAAAACCUCCGGUGGUAUAGGAUGGACCCGCGUUGGAUUAGCCAGUUGGCAGGGUAACGGCCUACCAAAGCGACGAUCCAUAGCCGGCCUGAGAGGGUGAACGGCCACAUUGGGACUGAGACACGGCCCAGACUCCUACGGGAGGCAGCAGUGGGGAAUAUUGCACAAUGGGGGAAACCCUGAUGCAGCGACGCCGCGUGAAGGAAGAAGUAUCUCGGUAUGUAAACUUCUAUCAGCAGGGAAGAUAGUGACGGUACCUGACUAAGAAGCCCCGGCUAACUACGUG